UACGUAGGGGGCAAGCGUUGUUCGGAAUUACUGGGCGUAAAGGGCGCGUAGGCGGCACAGCAAGUCGGGAGUGAAAGCCCGGGGCUCAACCCCGGAACGGCUUUCGAAACUGCUGAGCUAGAGUACAGAAGGGGCAACCGGAAUUCCCAGUGUAGCGGUGAAAUGCGUAGAUAUUGGGAAGAACACCUGAGGCGAAGGCGGGUUGCUGGGCUGAUACUGACGCUGAGGUGCGAAAGCGUGGGGAGCAAACAGG
rnacentral:rRNA from 1 species